CUCACAGAGAUCUACCUGCCUCUGCUCACCAAGUGCUGGGCUUAAAGAUGGAGUUUCUCUGUGUAGUCCUGGCUGCCCUGCAACUCACUUUGUUGACCAGGCAGGCUUCAAAGUUGUAAAGACAUGGGCCAAGAUACAAUAAAACCAUUUCCCACACCA